rnacentral:rRNA from 1 species
CGGCGGACGGGUGAGUAACACGUGGAUAACCUACCUAUAAGACUGGGAUAACUUCGGGAAACCGGAGCUAAUACCGGAUAAUAUUUUGAACCGCAUGGUUCAAAAGUGAAAGACGGUCUUGCUGUCACUUAUAGAUGGAUCCGCGCUGCAUUAGCUAGUUGGUAAGGUAACGGCUUACCAAGGCAACGAUGCAUAGCCGACCUGAGAGGGUGAUCGGCCACACUGGAACUGAGACACGGUCCAGACUCCUACGGGAGGCAGCAGUAGGGAAUCUUCCGCAAUGGGCGAAAGCCUGACGGAGCAACGCCGCGUGAGUGAUGAAGGUCUUCGGAUCGUAAAACUCUGUUAUUAGGGAAGAACAUAUGUGUAAGUAACUGUGCACAUCUUGACGGUACCUAAUCAGAAAGCCACGGCUAACUACGUGCCAGCAGCCGCGGUAAUACGUAGGUGGCAAGCGUUAUCCGGAAUUAUUGGGCGUAAAGCGCGCGUAGGCGGUUUUUUAAGUCUGAUGUGAAAGCCCACGGCUCAACCGUGGAGGGUCAUUGGAAACUGGAAAACUUGAGUGCAGAAGAGGAAAGUGGAAUUCCAUGUGUAGCGGUGAAAUGCGCAGAGAUAUGGAGGAACACCAGUGGCGAAGGCGACUUUCUGGUCUGUAACUGACGCUGAUGUGCGAAAGCGUG